rnacentral:rRNA from 1 species
UACGGAGGGUGCAAGCGUUAUCCGGAUUCACUGGGUUUAAAGGGUGCGUAGGCGGGCAGGUAAGUCAGUGGUGAAAUCUCCGGGCUUAACCCGGAACUGCCGUUGAUACUAUCUGUCUUGAAUAUCGUGGAGGUAAGCGGAAUAUGUCAUGUAGCGGUGAAAUGCUUAGAUAUGACAUAGAACACCCAUUGCGAAGGCAGCUUACUACACGAUCAUUGACGCUGAGGCACGAAAAGCGUGGGGAGCAAACAGG